rnacentral:rRNA from 1 species
GUGAGUAAUGUAUGGGGAUCUGCCCGAUAGAGGGGGAUAACUACUGGAAACGGUGGCUAAUACCGCAUAAUCUCUUAGGAGCAAAGCAGGGGACCUUCGGGCCUUGCGCUGUCGGAUGAACCCAUAUGGGAUUAGCUAGUAGGUAAGGUAAUGGCUUACCUAGGCGACGAUCCCUAGCUGGUCUGAGAGGAUGAUCAGCCACACUGGGACUGAGACACGGCCCAGACUCCUACGGGAGGCAGCAGUGGGGAAUAUUGCACAAUGGGCGCAAGCCUGAUGCAGCCAUGCCGCGUGUAUGAAGAAGGCCCUAGGGUUGUAAAGUACUUUCAGUCGGGAGGAAGGCGUUGAUGU